rnacentral:rRNA from 1 species
UUAAAGGAAUUGACGGAAGGGCACCACCAGGAGUGGAGCCUGCGGCUUAAUUUGACUCAACACGGGAAACCUCACCAGGCCCAGACACUAUAAGGAUUGACAGAUUAAAAGCUCUUUCUAGAUUUUGUGGGUGGUGGUGCAUGGCCGUUCUUAGUUGGUGGAGUGAUUUGUCUGGUUAAUUCCGGUAACGAACGAGACUCUGGCCUACUAAAACUGUAGUCGACGGGUGUUAGUUAGUGGAAAAACCCCGUUCGUCUUCUUAGAGGGAUAAGCAGCGAAUAUAGCUGCAGUAGAAUGAGCAAUAACAGGUCUGUAAUGCCCUUAGAUGUCCUGGGCCGCACGCGGGCUACACUGAAUGGUUCAACAGGUGCCCCUGCUCCGAGAGGAGUGGGAAAUCCUUUGAAACUCAUUCGUGAUAGGGAUUGGGUGCUGGGCAGAGCACCCAUGAACGAGGAAUUCCCAGUAAGCGCAAGUCAUUAGCUUGCGCUGAUUAAGUCCCUGCCCUUUGUACACACCGCCCGUCGCUACUACCGAUUGAAUGUUUUAGUGAGGACUUCGGACUGGCUGUCUUGGACUGGGUUCCGCUCGCCUUCGGGUGUCGGGCCUGCCAACAUCUGACGGAAAGUUGUCCAAACUUGAUCAUUUAAAGGAAGUAAAAGUCGUAACAAGGUUUCC